CUACGGGGGGCUGCAGUGAGGAAUAUUGCACAAUGGGGGGAACCCUGAUGCAGCAACGCCGCGUGGAGGAUGACGCAUUUCGGUGUGUAAACUCCUUUUAUAUGUCAAGAAAAUGACGGUAGCAUAUGAAUAAGCACCGGCUAACUCCGUGCCAACAGCCGCGGUAAUACGGAGGGUGCAAGCGUUACUCGGAAUCACUGGGCGUAAAGGACGCGUAGGCGGGUUGGAAAGUCAGGUGGGAAAUCCUACAGCUUAACUGUAGAACUGCACUUGAAACUUCUAAUCUAGAGUAUGGGAGGGGCAGAUGGAAUUAGUGGUGUAGGGGUAAAAUCCGUAGAUAUCACUAGGAAUACCGAAAGCGAAGGCGAUCUGCUGGAACAUUACUGACGCUAAGGCGUGAAAGCGUGGGGAGCAAACAGGAUUAGAUACCCCGGUAGUC
rnacentral:rRNA from 1 species